rnacentral:lncRNA from 1 species
GCGCAUGCGCGGUGCCUAGGAUUGUGAUGUUUCGGGAGCCCGGCGGUGUGGCCGAGCUUCCCCACCCUCAACCCGGAGACCCCUUUAUUUUUGUACAUGGGCGGGCGCUUUAUGGGGUCCCCGAAACUCCUGUCUAGCUCUGCAGCACUAAGCCAGGCGUGGGGGCCCCACGGGCUUCGCGCUCGCUCUGGGGGGGGGGGGGGGGCCGCACCCGGGUCUUUCCCUCGGACCGACGUACGCCCGGCUUUUCCACCUCGGGACGAGGCCCUCAGAACAAUGCUCGUCUCCACGCUCGGAGCAGUUCGAUAGGCAAGCGAGUCGGGUCGGGAGGAGCAGGGCUCUCCAAGGUGGCCUCCCUCGCUGUCUCCUAACGCGGGCCGGCCGCCAAGCUUACUCGCUCAGUUUCUCCGGCAUUACAACCUCUAUCAUCAUCUGGAUCCAGAGGCCUAUGCCCAGCGCCAUCCAGCCACUUCACUAAUGAGCAAGUCCGAUACACUUUGGGACAUCUUUCACUUUGAAAACUCCAUGGUAGAAAAUUUAGAAAGUAUGCAAUUGUUAUAGAAAUAUCCAUGAAUUCAUUGAAAAGCAACUACUGGGGAUCAAAGCCAUCAACACAAAAAGAUUUAGAAGAUGGUGCCCAAGCCAAAGAAGGAAACUAUUGUUCCCCUCUCCCCCAAGACAGAAGCCAAGUCCAAGACCUUGAAAGCCAGGAAGGUGGUGUUGAAAGGUGUCCAUAGUCACAAAAAGAAGAUCCAAACAUGCUCCAUAUUCUGGAGAUCCAAGACACUAAGAUUUCCAAGGCAGCCCAAAUGCCCUCAGAAAAGUCCCCCUUGACAAAACAAGCUUGAUCAGUAUGAAAUCAUUGUUUCCCUUGACCACUGAGUCUCCCAUGAAGAAGACUGAAAACAAUAUCACCCUCAUCUUCAUUGUGGACAUCAAGUCCAACAAAUAUCAGAUCCAGCAGACAGUUAAAAACCUGUACAACAUUGAUGUGGCCAAGGUCAAUACGCUGAUCUGUCCUGUUGGAGAGAAGAAGGCUUACAUCCACCUAUGAUGCUGGGUUCACAAAAUUGGAGUCAUCUAAACUGUGUCCACUUCUUCCACUUCACCUACAUAAAAAGUUUUCCAUUAUAAAUUUUAAAAAUAAAUAAAAUGUGUAUUACCAUUG